UUGAAGUAUUUUGAUGCUACCGGGUGCGAGAUACUAACGGAGAUUCAAGGCCUCGAUAGAUUGGAAUCCUUGGAGUCCUUGAUUCUUUGGAGGUGCUCGUCUAUGGAAAGAUUACCAGAUCUCUCCAACUUGAGAAACUUGAAGUAUUUCGAUGCUAGCUGGUGCGAGAAACUAACGGAGAUUCAAGGCCUCGAUAGAUUGGAAUCCUUGGAGUCCUUGAACCUUUCGGGGUGCUCGUCUAUGGAAAGAUUACCAGAUCUCUCCAACUUGAGAAACUUAAAGCAUUUAAAAGCUAGCUGGUGCGAGAAACUAACGGAGAUUCAAGGCCUCGAUAGAUUGGAAUCCUUGGAAAUAUUGGAUU